rnacentral:rRNA from 1 species
GAUGAACGCUGGCGGCGCGCUUAACACAUGCAAGUCGAACGGGAAAUCUUUCAUUGAGACUUCGGUGGAUUUGAUUUAUUUCUAGUGGCGGACGGGUGAGUAACGCGUGGGUAACCUGCCUUAUACAGGGGGAUAACAGUCAGAAAUGGCUGCUAAUACCGCAUAAGCGCACAGAGCUGCAUGGCUCAGUGUGAAAAACUCCGGUGGUAUAAGAUGGACCCGCGUUGGAUUAGCUAGUUGGUGGGGUAACGGCCCACCAAGGCGACGAUCCAUAGCCGGCAUGAGAGGGUGAACGGCCACAUUGGGACUGAGACACGGCCCAGACUCCUACGGGAGGCAGCAGUGGGGAAUAUUGCACAAUGGGGGAAACCCUGAUGCAGCGACGCCGCGUGAAGGAAGAAGUAUCUCGGUAUGUAAACUUCUAUCAGCAGGGAAGAUAGUGACGGUACCUGACUAAGAAGCCCCGGCUAACUACGUG